AUGGAUAUGACGGUUGCUUACUUUAAGAGGCGUCAAGCUGAGAAUGCUCAAUUCUACUAUGCAACAGAAGUUGACAAAGAAACAAACGAAGUGACAGCUCUGUUUUGGGUGGAUGGAAGGACAAGAGCAUUGUACCCAAAGUACAAAGAUUGUGUGUUCUUUGACACAACAUUUUGCACAAAUCGGUACAAUCUGCCUUUCGCUCCUAUUGUUGGUGUGAACAACCACUUGCAAACCGUGCUGCUAGGUUGUGCCUUGGUGCCAAAUGAACAAAUAGAAACUUUCAAGUGGGUGUUUCAACAUUGGAUGAUUGCAAUGAAUAAUGAGCACCCGUUGCACCUAAUGACUGACCAGGACAAGGCAAUGGAAACAGCAAUAAAAGAUGUCUUCCCAAACACAGUGCAUAGGUGCUGCAAAUGGCACGUCCAGCGAAAAGCAAGGGAAAAGUUGGGUAGGAUCCUGAGCAUGGAUGAAAAUUUUGAGCAGGUUUUCUAUGGGGUUAUCAAUGAUUCGGAGACGGUGGAUGAGUUCGAGGAGAAUUGGCAGCAUAUGCUGCAUUGCUUUGACUUGGUUGACAACAGACAUCUAAGCAACAUGUGGCGUAAGCGAGAGACAUGGGCUCCAGCAUACUUCCGAAAGAACUUCUUCCCAUUUACAAGCACUACAGGGCGGUCUGAGGGUCUCAACUCCUACUUCAAGACAUUUGUCAACCCUCAAGACUCUGUCUGGAGAUUUGUACAACAAUAUGAGGUGCUUCAAGAAACAAUGUUGGACCGUGAAGACAAUCAAGCUUUCAUAGGCCACGCAACAACUGCACCACUUUACUCAAGGUAUGUGUGUGCUUUGUAG
rnacentral:rRNA from 1 species